rnacentral:rRNA from 1 species
CCUACGGGGGGCAGCAGUGGGGAAUAUUGCACAAUGGGCGCAAGCCUGAUGCAGCCAUGCCGCGUGUGUGAAGAAGGCCUUCGGGUUGUAAAGCACUUUCAGCGGGGAGGAAGGCGGUGAGGUUAAUAACCUCAUCGAUUGACGUUACCCGCAGAAGAAGCACCGGCUAACUCCGUGCCAGCAGCCGCGGUAAUACGGAGGGUGCAAGCGUUAACCGGAAUUACUGGGCGUAAAGCGCACGCAGGCGGUCUGUCAAGUCGGAUGUGAAAUCCCCGGGCUCAACCUGGGAACUGCAUUCGAAACUGGCAGGCUAGAGUCUUGUAGAGGGGGGUAGAAGUCCAGGUGUAGCGGGGAAAUGCGUGGAGAACUGGAGGAAUACCGGUGGCGAAGGCGGCCCCCUGGACAAAGACUGACGCUCAGGUGCGAAAGCGUGGGGAGCAAACAGGAUUAGAUACCCGUGUAGUC